AAAGGCAGAUAAAAGGACACCGAGCCGUUCCUUCUGCGACGCAAUAUACUCCGCCUGUUCCGCCUUGGACGCCGUCGCAAUGCUAUCGGGAAUCAGCUUGCCGCUGGCGCUGAGUUCCUCGGCCUGCACGUCUCUGCUUUUCCCCGAGGAGGUUGCCGACCCAACAGCGGCGGCGAGGAGGGAGUACAGAUCUGCAGCGGGGCUGGCGAGCGACGACGCCGCGCCGGCUGUGCCAGGGAUGGUGAAGCGGGAUAGCAGCGACUGGGCAAAUCCCGCCGCGCCGGCUGCCUGUGGCGGGUGCGGGGAAGGCGCAGCAGUGGCUGCCAUGGGGGGAAGGCCCAGGACCCUUUCGCGAAGGAGGUUGAUGGCUUUGUAGAGAUACUCCAGGCCGGCGGAUUUGGCGCCGUCGUGGGUUUUGCUGAUGAAGUGUUCGAUAUCACGCUCGUGGCGGCAGAGGAAUGGGUCGAUGUAUUCCCUGUAGAGCAUUUUGGCGCCUUGGGUCUGUGGGAGGACGAGGUAGGAGAGGGCGAAGAGGCGAAUCCAGCUGUAAAAGGGGAACCAUCCUAUAAUGAAAUAGGUCCAGGAUUCAACCAGCAAGACUAUAGACAUGACAACCCAGUACAUGAGCCAUGGUGCUAAUUGGGAGGGAUCGGAGCUUCGGAGCGCUUUGUAGGACGCAAAGAUGGGGAAGAGGAUGGUGAGCACAGAGGAUAGUAAAUCCGCAACGAUGCCGAACAUUGCAGGCAGAUGACCAACCAGUCUAAACUAAGACCAAAGCAGAAGAGAAAAGGGAAAAAAAGAAAGGAAAAGAAAAGAAAUCUAGUAUAUGACCCGAGAUCUUGCUGCAAUGGAUAGAUAGGCGGGCAGAACGGAAGCGGGAGGCUGUAAUGUGCAGGUGGCUUGUGAAGAGCCGCAGAGAAAUCGCUGCGGGAUCACGGAUGGCCCAGUUGCUGCUUUGCUCGAGUGGAUAUCCUGGAUAUCUCGACACCGCACGGCAGGACAGCGCUGGCGGACGUUGCAGGUUCAAGUUGCUGCGGAGGUCAUGCUGGGGAGUUGUGUGGGGAAUGUGAGGGAUGUGGACUGUCGUCAUUAAAUAGUUCGUUGACUAAAUAUUGACUAAAAAACUGUGGCCUCGGCGGCUUCGGGGCUGACGAAGGACAGAUAUUUAAACACAGACAGACAGACAGACAGACAGACAGACAGACAGACAGACAGACAGACACUCCACCGUGAUAUACUCAAUACAUGCAAGACACAGCUGGCUGCUGGGAUCUACGAGCAUCUGCACGUACCCAGCUGGGUGGCUGCCGUAUUUAUUGUUUAUUUAAAUACGCAACCUGGCUUCUACAAGCGGGGCAGCAUUUUAUCCAACAAGAACGCUCAGAUCGGCCAGGUUAGAGAGUACUGUACAAUUAGGCUGUUUAUUUCCUAAGAACUUACUACUCUCAGUUGAAUACUCGUAUAUUUACUUCCCCGAUCGAAUUUUCGGUUCAAUGCGAUCACACCCUGCCGCCUCUCCCGAGGCUUGCUUUAGCAACCCUCGAGGUCAUUCGGCGAGCGAACUGCAAGUUUUCACUAUAAACCUCUGGAGAAACAGGGAGUGGGGAUUCCGCACCAAGCACUUUUGUCACAUCAUGUCCUAGACACUGUACGUGUUUCAGAGCGGUUCUAGACCCCUUGGGUGGAAAGGGUUCUCUUGUGUUUCUAGAAGAUGUCCCAAGCGGAAUGAGAGAGAUCAAACCGGCACACAUCUGUCUGUGGCACCUCCGCGACAUAUUCGAGAAGUGGCAUUAUUCCAAUCGAGGUGCUUUUUGUAGGCAAUUCAGCAAUUCCAGUGAACCGGAACGGAAUUCAGACGGGAGACUACGCUCAUGGCGCUGGGCCGUAGAAAGAUGGGUCGUGCCUUGUCCACUCAUUUUUCUAACAUCACCCGCCGCCACCUUGACGUCGUGACGUCGCUACUCGAGGGCAAAGCUAAUGUGAUCGAAUACGAUUUGAAUCUGCCAAAAAAGAAAGAUUCCCUAUUAUGUAUGAUGUUUGUUGCUCGCUUUCUUCAGCUCUUCUUAAUCCUUAGGCUCAAGACAUUACAGGAUUUAGAGACAUAAGCAGGCAGAUCCUGAUAGAAUGGACGAACAGCGAGACAGGACCUGAUGGUGUACGCUGGCAUGGCCUCAAAAGAGAGGCCUUUGGAUGGCAAAAGUGAGGUUCUAGAUAGCCGAGAUCGGUACUGAUAGUGAGACAUUUCGCAGCUCCAGGGAUGGAAUUGUAUCCUCCCUCAGACAAGGAACUCCCCUUCUCUCACAUUCCAAUCCGUUGGGGAAGCACAUGGAGAGUAGAUGCAGCAACUUGGCAUCUGCACGCAGUUAUCGUGCCGUUUUUAUUUUAUUUUAUUUUCUUUUCUUAUAUUAGUUGUGCUGGGGUUUGGGUAUUUCAUCAUAUGUGUUCACCAUACUGGUACGCAAUAAAACAGGAAACCACUUUGAAACCAUCAAAACCAUCUGAAAAUCAAAACCGUUGCUUCUCCAUCAAAGCGGGACUGCUUCCCAUGUUCUAUAUCAUGGAAUGAGCCAUUUCUUCUGAGGGGGGAAUUCAUUACUCCUCAACAAAAGUUCCAAAGAAGAAAUAGAAAAAAAUAAAAAAAAAAAGGAGUGAGACUCUGCGACUUGCCCAGAACAGGGUCACGGAUCAGAAGAGCAAAGACAACCAACAACACACUGAGACAGAUACCAGUGAUGCACAACAGUCGCUGGACGUGGCGGUAGGCAUCAAUGACACCAUCGCGCACCGGCGUGCCGACCGGGUGAGCCGUGGCAAACCCAAAUGGGUUGCCAUAUAUUGUGCCCGCGUCAAUUGCGUCCCCGACUCGAUCCUGGAUAGCGCCCGGGAGCACUUGAUUCCAGAUCGCGCCCGAGAUGGCGUUCCCGAGGGCGCUGCCGAUGUUGUAGCUUGCGAGGUACAAGCCGGUGAUGACGGCCACGUCUAAUAUCAAGCUUGGAUACUUGCUUGUGCGGGGUAAGGGAAUAAUCCACCAGCUUUAAUAGGAGGUUAGUUUUAGUCUCGUUAAUAUUUAACUUAAAAUCUAGAGGAGAAAGGGUGUUUUUUGUUGGGCAGCUGGAGCUUGUGAGGUUAUAUCUUACCAAUACCGAGCAAGACCUGGGCACCGAUGACCCCAGAGUGGCUGGAACCGCCUGAUCCCCCACGGAAGUGAAUGAGAAUACCGAACGCAACCAUGAACAGAAGGGUUCCGCAGAUGAUCAUGACCUUGAGCCGACGAAUCUUCAAGACAACGAGACCGGCGAUGCAGCCCGUAAUGACAGACGAAAAGCUGUACAGGGAGGUGAUGCGAGUGGCGCUUUUGAUGGACUCGUCGAAAGCAACAAUCAACACCGUAUAGAGGAAGUCUCCCUGGAGAUACCACGCUGAGAAAAGAGGGACAAAGAGAGGGAGAAGGGUGGUUAGCCUAGGUCGGAGAAGCUUUCAGAGAAAAUUGGGCGGUUCGUCCUUACCAGUGUUAAGCAUCACCGCAAUACCAAGGGCAGCCCAGACGGCACGGUCUUUAAGAAGCUGGGCAGAUUCUGUUAGUCUCCCCAAAGCAGACGGCAAGACGGGGAAUUCCAAAUAUAUGGGUGAUGGGGACUCACUCUAAAUGGAACCAUGGGAUGCUUGCAAGAUCUCUCCCAGAAAACGAAGACGGGAAUGCAACACACCCCAAUGACGAGCGGCGCAAUAACCUUGGCCUUCUGCCAUUGAGUCUGGACUCCCCCGGCAAGAGUAAAAGGAACGAGAAUAAGGGCGAAAACGGCAAUCAAAAGGAUGACGCCUAUUACAUCCAGCUGCCAGAAGAGGGCUAUCGAGAGCCGGCGCGCGCCCAGAAGCUGAUACGAACUUUUGUACCCAGCAAGCGCGCCAUCUACUUUUGCUCUUCUGUGGACGAUAAGGAGAGAUGCGAUCAACGGCAAACAGCACACUAUAUGAUUUCCCAGUUAGCUUUUUAUUUUCUUGCUUCUACUUCCUUUUCCUCUUCGCUCGGAUGGGCAGAUUCGUUGAUUCUGGAUAAUGACAUACCUGGGUAGAUGAUUGCCCACAUCCCAAUUCCUGUAGGGGGCUGUUAGCUGAAGCUUGAGUCGAGUUAUAUCACGAAGUGUUGCAUACCCCAUUUCCAUGUUGUGGCGCCCAGCACAGCAUUUGUGACAUUCCCACUCACCCAAGUAUUGAUCUAUAUCCGAUUAGUGAGAUGAUUUUGGCCCCUGGAGAAAGGAGAUUGUUAAUGGCUCCAAACGUACGAGGAAUGGUAAUGCAGGAACGUAGGAGAAGAUUAAGCGGGACCGAAGCGAUGUCGUAUCAGCAAUCAGGACCUCGACCAGCAACAUGAUUCCUGUGUAUCCGAUCUUUUUGAAAAACAAAAACAAAAGUAGAGUCCGAAGUCAGUGAACCAAGAAAAAUACAAGGCGUGGGUGGAAUAUAUCUGCCCACCUGAUAAAGGAUGGCACCGGCGCAGAAUGAUUGCACGUUGGUUGCGCAAGCUUCGAUAAUCGUGCCAAUGAUAUAGAAUACAAUAGUAAUACUGAUAACCUCCGCGCGGCCAAACACAUCAGCAAUCUUUGCGAUUGUUGGCUGAGCAGCAGCACCAAUGACGCCUCGCAGAACAUUAACUGUCGCUAGCAAGCUAUGUUGGGCAUAUGACGCAACAGCAUAGGGCUGGUAAGUAUAUCGAAUAGUCCCAUCCAAUCCAUAAGCGUAGGCGAGAAGGAAUAUGCCAAAAAAGAACAGGACCUUGUCUGGAAGCGUGAAGUAGC
rnacentral:sRNA from 1 species